GACGAACGCUGGCGGCGUGCUUAACACAUGCAAGUCGAACGGAAAGGCCCUGCUUGCAGGGUACUCGAGUGGCGAACGGGUGAGUAACACGUGGGUGAUCUGCCCUGCACUUCGGGAUAAGCCUGGGAAACUGGGUCUAAUACCGGAUAGGAGCCAUUUUUAGUGUGAUGGUUGGAAAGUUUUUUCGGUGUAGGUUGAGCUCGCGGCCUAUCAGCUUGUUGGUGGGGUAAUGGCCUACCAAGGCGGCGACGGGUAGCCGGCCUGAGAGGGUGGACGGCCACAUUGGGACUGAGAUACGGCCCAGACUCCUACGGGAGGCAGCAGUGGGGAAUAUUGCACAAUGGGCGCAAGCCUGAUGCAGCGACGCCGCGUGGGGGAUGACGGCCUUCGGGUUGUAAACUCCUUUCGCUAGGGACGAAGCUUUUUGUGACGGUACCUAGAUAAGAAGCACCGGCUAACUACGUG
rnacentral:rRNA from 1 species